AGUGAACGCUGUCGGUAGGCCAAACACAUGCAAGUCGAACGGCAGCACAGGAGAGCUUGCUCUCUGGGUGGCGAGUGGCGGACGGGUGAGGAAUACAUCGGAAUCUACUCUGUCGUGGGGGAUAACGUAGGGAAACUUACGCUAAUACCGCAUACGACCUUAGGGUGAAAGCGGAGGACCUUCGGGCUUCGCGCGGAUAGAUGAGCCGAUGUCGGAUUAGCUAGUUGGCGGGGUAAAGGCCCACCGAGGAGACGAUCCGUAGCUGGUUGGCGAGGAUGAGCAGCCACACUGGAACUGAGGAACGGACCAUACGCCUACGGGAGGCAGCAGUGGGGAAGAUUGGACAAUGGGCGCAAGUCUGAUCCAGCGAGGCCGCGUGGGUGAAGAAGGCCUUCGGGUUGUAAAGCCCUUUUGUUGGGAAAGAAAAGCAGUCGGUUAAGACCCGAUUGUUCUGACGGUACCCAAAGAAUAAGCACCGGCUAACUUCGUGCCAGCCGCCGCCGUAA
rnacentral:rRNA from 1 species